rnacentral:tRNA from 1 species
GGUUGAGUCCGCUAAGCGGACGCCAAAGAGCGUUCGGCUGAUAACCGAAAGGUCGAGAGUUCAAAUCUCUCCCGGCCCA